AUUUGGAUAGAUUUUCAUGUGAAAACUAUUAUGGCAAUAGUGGAUAAAGUGAGCAAGUGAGAAAAGUAGGUAUAUCUCAACAAUUUGCUAAAGUUAUCAAAUUCUGCUUUUGCAUACAUACAUAAAGCUUGUUAAUAAAAGCGUAUCUACCUCGUAAAUUUCAUCAUUCAAAUGGACUGUCAUUGACUCUUCUUCAAGGUCCAAAUUCUGUUUUCAUUAUAGAAUAACAGUUUCCGUUGAGCUUGGUAGCACCUUGAAACCUUUACUCAAAGAAACUGUUUGUCGAGCAACGAGCAAAAGAAUGGUGCUGCAAAAGCUCCUCCUUGCUGCCUAGCUAGAAGAAGACGCAUAAGCUGCGAAAGUUAUUGAACUUGAUCAAACAUGUCCAUGUCAUUAUGGGCACAUAUGUGCUGCGCCUCAUAUGUAAGUUGCACGGAUUUGUUUCCUAUUUUACAACUUGCGUACUGUUGCUUGUGACGACUAUGGCUUAACAUCAAGAGAGCAAUUUGAGCUAAGACGUAAGGCCUUGUUCAUUUAAGCAGCAAAGCAAAACAGAUUUCAGCACAACAAAGCAGGUGUUAGCAGAGUAAAUUCAGUCAUCAAAGCAUAGCUCAACAAAAUAGAGCAGAUUUCAGCAGAUUAGAGUAUAGCGGAGCAGCUCUAAAGAACGAGGCCUAACUCUAAUAGAAAAGAGUAUUUGAGAGGGAUAGAGUUCAUUGUAUCACUUCUUUUCAUAACUACAAUUAAUUUCAUUUUCAUUACCAUUAUUUAUUACCUCCUAAUCCCUCUAUUUAAAUAAAUGAAAUGUUUUGAC